rnacentral:rRNA from 1 species
AUUGAACGCUGGCGGCAGGCCUAACACAUGCAAGUCGAACGAGUGGCGGACGGGUGAGUAAUGUCUGGGAAACUGCCUGAUGGAGGGGGAUACUACUGGAAACGGUAGCUAAUACCGCAUACCAUCAGAUGUUCCCAGAUGGGAUUGGCUUGUUGGUGGGGUAACGGCUCACAAAGGGGACGAUCCCUAGCUGGUCUGAGAGGAUGACCACCCAGACUGGAACUGAGACACGGUCCAGCAUACUACGGAAGGCAGCAGUGGGGGAGAUUGCACAAUGGGCACAAGCCAAAUGCGGCCAUACCGCGUGUAUGAAGAGGGCCUACGAAUUGUAAAGUACUUUAAGCUGGAAGGAGUUACCUGCAGGAGAAGCACAGGCUGACACCGUGCUAACAGCCGCGGUAAUAC